AUUGAACGCUGGCGGCAGGCCUAACACAUGCAAGUCGAGCGAGCGGCGGACGGGUGAGUAAUGUCUGGGAAACUGCCUGAUGGAGGGGGAUAACUACUGGAAACGGUAGCUAAUACCGCAUACCAUCAGAUGUGCCCAGGUGGGAUUAGCUAGUAGGUGGGGUAAUGGCUCACCUAGGCGACGAUCCCUAGCUGGUCUGGGCGGAUGACCAGCCACACUGGAACUGAGACACGGUCCGUGCUCCUACGGGAGGCAGCAGAGGGGAAGUUUGGACAGUAGGGGCAAGCCUGGUGCAGCCAUGGCUCGUGUGUGAAGCAGGCCUUCGGGUUGUAAAGCAGUUUCAGCGGUGAGGCGUUACCCGCAGAAGAAGCACCGGCUAACUCCGUGCCAGCAGCCGCGGUAAUAC
rnacentral:rRNA from 1 species